UACGGAGGGUGCAAGCGUUAAUCGGAAUUACUGGGCGUAAAGCGUGCGCAGGCGGUUUGUUAAGUCCGUUGUGAAAGCCCCGAGCUCAACUUGGGAAUUGCAAUGGAUACUGGCAGGCUGGAGUACGGUAGAGGAAGGUGGAAUUCCCGGUGUAGCAGUGAAAUGCGUAGAUAUCGGGAGGAACACCAGUGGCGAAGGCGGCCUUCUGGACCAGUACUGACGCUCAUGCACGAAAGCGUGGGGAGCAAACAGG
rnacentral:rRNA from 1 species